GAGGGUUUUUCUUUCUCCCCAAGACAUUUUGGGAUAAAUAUCACCCCAUCACUCCAAACGAAGGAGGUCACGAAACAGAGGGAGUGAAAACGAGCGAGGAACAGAAUAGAAAAAAAUAGAGUGAGAGGGGAAUUGGGCGGAAUUAGAGAAAUAUAUGAAGGGACGGUGAGGAGAACGGACAGAGUUCAAGAGGAGAGAGCGGAAAAACCGAGUAUUGGAAAUUCCCUAGAGCUGUAGACUCUCAUCCUCACCGUAACUAAUUAUGUUUUUCCUUCUCAAUCCAGCUUCUCCAUAAAAAAUCAUCAUUAAAUAAACACCAUCCAACUACAACUAGUAAAUCUCAUAAAAACCCAGUAACACCACCUUGAAUAAAGAUUGGUAACCAUUAUUUCCCCCACCGCCAUGUGAAUCACCUACAACACCAGCAUCUUUCCCCUUCAUUGUUAGCUAGCCAAAUCCUUUGAGUUGAAACUUGGGGUAUUCAGAUCUAAAAAAAAGAAGUCGAGUCAGUUGAAGUCUUUCGUUAGAGGUUCUGGCCGCCGGUUCUAUUUGUUUGCCACGAGGUUCAAUACAUUUGGUUGAUUUUCUAAAGAGAUUUUCAGCAGCUUCAUAAGGUCUGCUCUCAUCUUACUUUUGUUGAUUUAUUUUUCAAUAAUUUAGUGUUGAAAUUGCUUGUUAUUAAUUCUCUGUUGAAUUUCGUGUUAGAUUAAAAUGUGAAAAUGCUUCUGCUUGUUUGUUUUAGUUUUAAUAUAAGAUGAAGAGGGUUAAAUUACAGCAACUCAUUUGAAUUUAAGUGUUUAGAUGCUAUUCUAAAAUAAAGAAUAUUAGUUAGAGUAUAUUGGAAAUAAAAUGACGUAAAGCAUUGAUGCAAAAUUUUAGAGUAACAAGGUGUGUCGUGGGGUUCGGGAAUUAAAAAGUAAAAAUUAAUUUAUUAAUUUGAUCGCUAGGAGCAUAUUUAGGUCGUAACUUGGCUAGGCAAAUCUUAGGUUUUCUUUAUUUUAUUUUUAUUCGAGGCGAGAGGUCGUUCCCUUUAGUUCAUAUUUAGGGAAAUGCCCUGUAGACUUUGUAUAUAUUUUUAUCCGGGGUAUGCCCCGUAGUAUCAUGUAUUUGGAGGCCGUGACAAACCUCAUGGAAAAGUAUAGUAUAUAUUAGUAUUUAGGAUUUUACUUUACUUUUCUUUUUCUAUUUUUUUUAUUAGGUGGGGACGACCUCGAUCCUUUCUUGUGUUUACUUUCCUUUUUCUGUGUUUUAACCUCAAUUUGAAUAUUUUAAAAGCUAACUGGAUCAUAUAUACAAUCGUGAUUUUCACGGGACUCGGGGAAUGUCUAACACCUUCUUCCCAAAUUAAAUGAACCCCCUUAUCUAGAAUCUCUAGUGCAGACUAUGUUUUAGAGUCUAAAUGUGUUUUCAAAAGGAAAAUCAUUUUUUAACGGUGACCUGGUACACCGAAAUCAAAUGUCAGGUGGCGACUCUGAAAAUCCUUUGAAACACAUCUUUUGUCACUUUCUAAUUGAAAAUCCUUUUGAGCUUCAAAAAUCCUUUUAUCUAUUUUUAAAAGGUAUUGAGUGUGAAAAAAGGGGUGUGACACCCCCUAGGCGAAAAAGUUCUACUUGGGUUAAGCUACGUAAAGCAAGCCUGGGCGAAGAGUACUUCUACCCGAAACUAUGAGCUGAAUCCCCCUAGGUAAAAAGUUUCUACAUGGGUUAAGCUACGAAAAUGGGAGGUAUGAACAGUAGUGAUGCAUGCUGCAAAUAAACAAAAAUGGAGAUUUUAAGGAGCUUAUAUUUGAUGAUAUUCGUCCUUUGAGAAUCGCCAUUCUGCACUGCUUUGAUCCUGUUUCAAACAAAGAAAAAUUUGUGAGUUUUUAAAGUGUUGGUCGGUUUGUGGCCUUGAUGUCCUGAGUUGUUUGAAUUCACAGCCACUCUGCUGUCGAAGAACUGAUUUUGUCAGUGUGGUACCGAGGUUCUCGGCUACUCUGUAUCGCUUUCUGGAGACAUUGUCUUUCUGACGUUGCCCCUGGCUGUUUCAUACCCAGAUGUCCAUGGUACCGCUAAUCCUUAUGCCUAAGGCAAGGCAAUUUUCCUUUAAAAUCAAACUUAGUUGUCUAAACAAAAGGUGUCCCUUUCGGGGAGAGGAAUAUGGAGACUUAUCUGGAGGCGUGUGCCGACUUCAAUUAAUCAUAACAUGCAUUUUGGACUGGACACCUGAUCCAUCUGAGCUCUCUAUUUCUCAAAAUCUGUCGCAAAUGUUCAUCUUAAAACUGUUUUGGUUGUGCUCAUGCCAGAGCAUCAAAGACCCUUAUUCGGCUAGUAGCGCCCUUUGCGGGUUUCGCUAACUAACCUCUCUCAUUUCUCUACUCAUCGUCGCCUUACAGUGCCUAUACGAGUUUUCACCGAUAAGACUCUCAUUUCUUUUUUUCUUUUCUUUUCUUUCUUUUUUUCUUUUUUUGACUAAGAUACUGUAUGCGGAAGGUUGCCCAACGCUCUUGGCAUGGGGACUUCAAACAUUCUCAAAGAUCGAUCAGAAGUUCCUAAUAGGGAAAAGGCAAAAAGAACCUUGAACUGAAUUACAACUUUUGUAGUCGGUUUUAUAGGAAAAAUCGUAAAAUAAAACAAAUUUCUGCCCCAGUUUUGGAGUAUUGGGAAUAUGGAUUUUUAUUGUGAUGUGACCGAACCCAGGGUAAGGCUGCUUACGUAUCCUUUCGGAAUCAGGUCGGACGUAGUUCAAUGAACUCAGAAGGUUUGUUAUUUGAUCCUUUUUUUCUUUUUUUUAAAAACAAGUACAUGGUUCCAAAAUAGGGAAAACGAAGAAGACAAAUACGACUCAAAAGGUUUAACAAAAUGUUGACACCUAUUUGGGAUAGAGGCCAAUAAUAACGUUCGUCAUUUCGAUCUGAGAAAAUAAUGCGUGAAAGUUCUGCAGUGGGUAUAUAUCAAAUAUAAUAUCUUUUGACUGCAUCUGCGUUAAUCGUCAUGUCUGGUACCCGUUCUUCUUCAUCAACCAAGUGCAAGGCCCCUUUUGGAAACACUUUCUUGAUGAUGUAAGGUCCUUGCCAGUUCGCGGCGAACUUUCCUUUAGCUUUUACUUGGUGUGGAAGAAUGCGUUUCAAAAUGAUUUGGCCUACCUCAAAGUGUUGUGGACACACUUUCUUAUUGUAAGCGCGUGCCAUUCUUUGCUGGUAUAAUUGGCCAAAAUAUAUUGCUGCUAGUCGUUUUUCAUCAAUCAGCAUCAGCUAUUCCAAAUGGGUCUUUACCCAUUAUGUAUCUUCAAUCUCCGAUUCCACAAUGAUCCAGAGAGAGGGAAUUUCAAAUUCGACCGGUAUUACAGCUUCCGUUCUGUAUACCAGUACAUAAGGAGUUGCACCAAUAGAUAUGCGAGCAGUCGUGUGGUAUCCCAAAAGAGCAAAAGGCAAAAUUUCAUGCCAUUGUCGGGAACCUUGGAUCAUGUUUCUAAGAAUCUUCUUGAUGUUCAUGUUUGCCGCUUCAACGGCUCUAUUGGCUUUAGGCCGGUAAGGGGUAGAAUGGUGAUGUACAAUGUUAAAUUGCUUGCAUACCUCCUUCAUCAAAUGUCUAUUUAGAUUGGCUGUAUUGUUAGUGAUAAUGGUCUUUGGAAUACCAAAGCGACAGAUGAUGAUGGAAUGAACGAAGUCUACCACUGCUUUCUUGGUGACUGCUUUGAAAGUGACGGCCUCCAUCCACUUUGUGAAGUAAUAAAUUGCAACCAAAAUGAAUCUAUGCCCAUUUGAAGCCUUUGGCUCGAUUGGCCCAAUAACAUCCAUUCCCCAAGCAACUAAAGGCCAAGGAGAGGAUAUGGGAUGCAACUCCGAAGGAGGCGAGUGGAUCAGGUCACCAUGAAUUUGGCAUUGGUGACUCUUGCGAACAAAACUGAAGCAAUCUCGCUCCAUUGUAAGACAAUAAUACCCUGCCUGUAGAAUCUUCUUCGCCAAAACAUAUCCAUUCAUGUGAGGUCUGCAUACCCCCGAAUGCACUUCACUUAUGAUCCGCUCAGCUUCUGUGGCAUCUACGUAUCUCAACAAGUUCAAAUCUGGGGUCCUUUUGUACAAAAUUUCCCCAUUCAGGAAGAAACUGCCGGCGAGCCGCCUUAUAAUUCUUUUUUGAUCUCCCUUGGCAUGCUUUGGGUAUUCUCUUUUUUUCAGGAAUCAUUUUAUGUCAUGAUACCAUGGUUCACCAUCUGGUUCUGUCUCAAUUGUAUUACAGUAACCGUGUUGAUUCCGAACUUGGAUUUCUAGUGGAUCGAUAUGAGUGUUGCCCGGAUAAGGGAGCAUUGAGGCUAAAGUAGCCAAAGCAUCGGCUAGCUCAUUAUGAAACCGAGGAAUGCACCUGAAUUUGAUGGAUUUGAAUCUUUUGCUCAGGUCUUGUACACAUUGUCUGUAUAGAAUAAACUUGAUGUCUCGAGUCUCCUAAUCGCCUUGGGCUUUCCGGAUAAGCAGGUCGGAAUCUCCCAUAACCAAUAGUUCAUGCACAUCUAGAUCGAGGGCCAUUUUCAAACCCAUGAUACAAGCUUCGUAUUCUGCCGUAUUAUUGGUACAGAAGAACCGAAGUCAGGCCGUUGCAGGGUAAUGCUGUCCAAUAGAUGAGAUGAGGAUUGGCUCGAUCCCAACUCCUUUGAUAUUGACAGCACCAUCAAAAUACAUUUUCCAUACAGGGUUAUCGUCCGGAACUACUUCCUCUAUUGAGUUGACCUCUUCGUCUGGGAAGUAUGUGCUAAGUGGUUUGUAAUCAUCAUCAAUUGGAUUUUCUGCCAAAUGAUCGGCCAAAGCCUAUGCUUUAAUCGCGGUGCGAGUGACGUAUGAUGUCAAACUCUGUGAGCAGGAUUUGCCAUUUUGCGAGCCUGCCAGUGGGCAUUGGCUUUUGGAAGGUGUACUUCAGAGGAUCCAUUCUGGAUAUGAGGUAAGUAGUGUAGUCCAAAAUAUAAUGUCUCAACUUCUGAGCGACCCAAGUCAAGGCACAACAUGUCCUUUUUAAAAGGGUGUACUUAACCUCAUAAUUGGUGAACUUCUUGCUCAAAUAAUAGAUUGCCUGUUGCAUCAUGUUGCCCCAGAACGCAUCCAAAGGAAUUAUCCAUCACCGAUAGAUAUAAAAACAAAGGCCUACCAGGUUCAGGUGGGACCAGUAUAGGGGGUUUUGACAGAUAAUAGUUUAUCCUGUCAAAAGUAUUUUGGCAAUCGUCCGUCCACUUGGUAGAAACAUCCUUUUUCAGAAACUUAAAAAUGGGCUCACACGUGGUUGUGAGCUGAGCAAUGAACCUACUGAUGUAGUUCAACCUCCCAAGCAAACUCAUGACUUCCUUUUUGUUCUUCGGGGGUGGAAGAUCUCGAAUGGACUUUAUCUUAGAUGGAUCCAAUUCGAUGUCUCUCCAGCUGACUGUAAAACCGAGGAGUUUCCCAGAUGGAACCCUAAAUGCACAGUUGGAUAGAUUAAGCUUAAGGUCAUAUCUUCGAAGUUGUUCAAAGAACUUUUCCAAAUCGCGCACGUGAUCAGCCUGUGUCUUUGAUUUUAUGAUGACAUCAUCGACAUAUACUUCAAUCUCGUUGUGCAUCAUGUCGUGAAAAAUGGUAGUCAUGGCCCUCAUGUAAGUUGCCCCUGCAUUAUUCAAACUGAAUGGCAUGAUCUUGUAACAAUAAGUACCCCAUGGAGUGGUGAAAAUGGUCUUUUCUGCGUCAUCCUCAUUCAUUAGAAUCUGGUGGUACCCAUCAUAGCAAUCCACGAACGACUGUAUCUCAUGCUUUGCGCCAUUAUCUACAAGAAUGUGGAUGUUUGGCAAAGGAAAAUUAUCCUUCGGACUUGCUUUGUUCAGGUCUCUGUAGUCAACACAGACUCUAGUUUUUCCUUCCUUCUUUGGCACAGGCAUAACAUUUGCCACCCAGGUGGUGUAUUGGACAGCUUUGACCACAUUGGCGCUUAGUUGCUUCAUUAUUUCCUCUUUGAUAUUGUCACUCAUGUCCGUUUUAAAUUUUCGUUGCUUUUGUUGGAGUGGUGGAAAAUCAGGAUACGUGAGAAGCUUAUGAACCACUAGAUCAGCACUUAAACCCGGCAUAUCAUCAUAAGACCAAGAAAACAUAUCUUUGUAUUCAAAUAAAAUUUGAAUCAAGGAAUCUCUGGUUUUUUGUUCAGUGUGAAUGCUUAUCUUUGUUUCUCUAACUUCUUCCUGACUUCCGAUAUUAAUUGGCGCAGUUUCAUUGAGGCUGGGCUUAGACUUGUUUUCAAAUUGUUCCAACUCUCUUUUUAUUUCCUCAACAGCCUCAUCUUCAUCAUACUCAACCUCUUGAUGCAUUAUUUCGAAAUUAGACAGCUUUUUAACAUCCGAGCGUGAAUUCUGCAUGCAUGUCAUGUUAUUAAAGCCGGCAUUAACAAAACUGAAAUGGAAACAAAAUGACAAGAAUUAGGAGAAGGAAAAGAUACAAAACUUAAUACGAAACUGAACUACAUUUCAUUGAAUUUGAAAGUAUAGAAAGGUUAACAACAAAAACAAUCAUACUGAGAUGUUUGGAUUACAACCCUGGAAGUAACCCAAAGUACAAAAAAGAAGGUGCAAAAGCAAACUACCAAGACUCCUUCCUUGUGGGGAGAGUAGUUGCUUUCCAGUUGUUGAGCAUAGUGUCUGGGCCAAUUAGUUGCAUAUCGGCACGACUAGUGCCUUCACCAGCAUGGAUCAUAUUCACUUCAGAAAAUAUCCGGCUGAGGCCAUGGCAAAUUUCAUCAAUGUUUGCAUGCGCCGAGGAACUUUGACCCUCUUUGAGUCGUGGCUUGACAAAAGUGUGGAAAAUGUGAGAGAUAGGUUGCUGCAAGACCCACCCAUGCUUUUGGCGGUGCUUGGCUUUGUCUUCGUCUGUUUGUGUUGGCCUGAAGCCUAAACCAAAAGUACCCUUAUUACUGAACGGAGAAAUGUGUUCUGAAAUUCCUUGCAAUGAUGCCCCUAAGCCUUUUCCUGGCUCAUAACCUUGUCUCAUCAUUAGUGCAGCCACCAUUACAGAUGUGGCAGAGAGACGAGGAUGCAGAAUGGGCUUUCCUUCCUCAACAUGGUCUACAAUAAUCACUUCGAAAGCCUGAUAGACAAUAGACUCACAUCCUUCCUUGGCCUCAAUACACGGAAUUAACGGGUCUUUAUAAAUGGAUGACUCGUCUUCUCCGUGAACAAUAAUUUCUUGCCUGUCGUAUUCGAAUUUGAGCAUCUGAUGCAAGGUGGAUGGCACAACCCGGGCCGUAUGGAUCUAUGGACUUCCGAGAAGAAAGUUAUAAGAAGUUUCCAUGUCCACUACCUGGAAGACAAUUUCAAAAUCAACCAGGGUAAUCGUCAUGGUGAGGUUGAUCUCCCCAAUGGUAUCUUUCGCUGAGCCAUCAAAAGCCUGGAUGCGAACAUUGCUGGGUCGGAUUCUGUCUGUGUUGAUCUUCAUGCUUUGCAAGGUAGAGAGAGGGCAUACAUCUACACUCGAGCCUCCAUCAACCAUGACUCGCUUUACAUAAUGCCCAUCACAUUCGACAAUAUGGUGCAAAGCCCUAUUGUGCCCGGCUCCCUCCUCGGGAAGUUCAUCAUCAGUAAAGGAGAUUUUAUUCACCUCAAAAAAUCUGUUGGUCAUCUUCUCUAACUGAUUCACGGUGGUCUUCUCUGAGACAUGUGCCUCGUUCAGGAUUUUGAUUAGUACACGAGCAUUUUCUUCUGAGUGUAUGAGCAAAGAUAACAGAGAGAUUUGGGCAGGAGUCUUUCUCAACUGGUCAAUGAUUGAGUAAUCCUGAACAUUCAUCUUUUUCAAAAACUCCUCCGACUCUUCUUCCGUGACCGGUUUCUUUAUUGGCAUUUGGCCUUCUUUGAUUUGCUUGGCCUUCCUCAACUCUUCUGGAGAGUAACACCUCCCCGAUCGAGUCAAACCUCCAGUUUCCCCCACUUCUUUAUGAUUUCCUUACCUUUGUAGGUUACCACAGUUUUGUUGUAGUUCCAAGGAAUGAUUUUCGUGUUUGUCACACAGGGUUGUAUGGCAGACUUGAUUAUGGUCGGCUGUGUUAUACCCUUCAUACCACCCUGAUUCUGAUUUGUGAUUGGGUGACCUCCACGGACAUACAACUUUGGGCUUGGAACAUUGGAGCGAACUUCCAACCUCAAGAUUUUUGGAACAAAUAAAGUUGCCUUCCCUGAGCUUUGGGCGCCUUUCACAAUCAAUGGCACAUCUCGGCUUGGACUUACUUCCAGUCCUAUUCCUUCUUGAAUCGCUCCCACUGUAAUUUAUGCUCGGCCAAUCGACUUGUAUUCUUGAUCUCGGCCGAUCAUUCCCACAAAAUGAAAAUCGUUGUGUGCUGGCAGUGGGUUAUUCGUAACAUUAGGAGGGUCUUCGCUAUUUGUUACCACAAUCAACCUUUCCGCGAUGAGUCUUUCUAUGUCUCUUUUCAGAGUCCAACAGUCAUUAGUGUUAUGCCCUGGGGGUACCUGAAUGAUAUUCAUAUAUAGCAUUUUCUUGAAAUCCAUGUGAAUCGGGAUGCAUAUGGUGGGGAGCAAUGGGUCCAAUCACACCCAUCUGAUUUAGCUUCUGAAAUAGACUAGAGUAUGAUUCAGCUAAUGGAGUGAAUUUUUCCACCGUCCUCUACUCUCGACCAUAAUUCUGCCUGGGACGAGCAUUGUAGGGUGCUCAAAAAUUUUGCUGCUGAGGUCGGGGGAUCCUUGGAGCUGGUGCCCGUACCUGUUGAUUGGGAGGCCGAGCAAAUGAUUGAGCAUUAAAUACUGUAUACUGUGGUGGGCCCACAGAGUAUUUUGUAAUUGGCGGGGGAUAAUAAUGUUGAGGGUAGCUGGAUUGCCCCUGCUGAACUUGCGCCUCAGGGUGAGAUGCCCCUAUUUGAACUUCCCUGGAUCCCGAAGUCAUCAUGGACCCUUCAUCCCUCUUCUUUCUAUUUGCCAAACUUCCCGACCCAUUUUGGAUAGCUUGGGUGGUGGCUUUGAGAGCCACUUGACUUACAAUUCUGCCAGUCUUGAGGCCAUUUUAGACCGUCUCUCCUAUUUUGAUCGCUUCUGCAAAAGGUCUACCCAUGCGGACAUCAUGUUUUCAAAGUAAUCAGGCUUUUGAGCCUCCAGAAAAAUACUAAUUAACUCGUGGUAAUCCAUGGGUGGCUUAACUCUAGCCGCUUGCUCCCUCCACUUGAUUGCAUACUCCCUAAAGCUUUCAGUCGGCUUUUUCUUCAUAUUGGACAGGGAAUUGCAAUCCGACGCAAUAUCAAUGUUGUAUUGAAAUUGUUUGAUGAAGGCCUGGGCCAUGUCGUCCCAGACAUACCAGUGAGAGAUAUCUUGGUCAAUGAACCAUUCGGAGGUUACCCCUACAAGACUUUUCCCAAAAUAAGACAUCAGCAAUUCUUCUUUUCCCCUGUACCCAUCAGCUGGUUGCAAUACCUUUUCAAGUGAGCGAUAGGGUCACCGUGUCCAUCAUACUUCUCAAAUUUUGGGGUCUUAAACCCUGGUGGCAAAUGGAUUUGAGGGAACAUGCAUAAAUCACUGAACGAAACACUUUUGUGACCACCUAGUCCCUGUAUGUUCUUUAUGUUCUGUUCAAAACUUUUCAUUUUCCUGUCGAUCUCAUCCGGCUCAACCGUCUUGGCAGGCUUUUCAUUUUCCACUAGUGACUCGUACUGAGGGGUCUGAUUGUAUGGAGACGAGACACCGAAAGCCAUAUUUGGAGAGUAGUAUUGGCCAUCAUAAGCAUGAGAUGGUGUCUCAUUGUUUGGCCUCAUCACAAGAGGUGGUGGCCGGAUUGUGUAUACUGGUGCGCCAGACACGACUAGAGGAGUGUUCCUGACCGGUGCGACUGGAGGUCGCACAUUAUAGGUACCAGGAGCAGCAUGGAGGUUGUAGUUUGGCACAUACCCUGGUGGUAGAAUGCGAUCGCUCAUUGCAUGGAGUGGUGUUUGCGUAGCCAGGGGUACGGUGGAAGUUCCCUCCGAGGGACCCCAGGGUGGAGGCUGCCCAGAAACCCAAGCUUGAUAUACAUUAGGUAAUUGCUGUCUCAAUUUUCUUAUUUCCUCCGACUCUUUCUCAACUGACUGACCCUGGGGGUCGUUGCUGACCAGCUCGAUCUCAUCAUCGUUAGCCAUUACUAUCGUUCCCUUAGAUCUGGUGAAGUAAUGAUGUGUUACCAGUUUCACUACAAACCAACCACCUUAAGCUUACUAUAUAAGAGGCAACAAACGUGUUAGGGUUAAGCAUUUUACAGAUACGAAUCACACGUAAAUAUGCUAUGCUCCUAAAAUUAUCACCAUCUCUAACAUGCUUUUGGAAGGCUUCAUGUUUCAUUCCGGCUUAUAAGGCUGCUCCUCUUUUUUCACUUUUCUUUUCACUCACCUCAUUUUGAUCCCUCAUUUUAGAGUCAUUGAAAAAUAUUUGAUCAAACCUUUUGGGGGUUGCCUACGUAUCAUGUCGCCGCAUGAAUCAGAUCAUUACGUAGUUCAGGGACAUGACAAUUUCUUUUAAUACAAGAACUAAAAACAAAAAUUACAUAAAGACGAACCUCUAAACAAGACCAGACUAGACUAAAAAACAGACGUUUUUAAGAUGAAAAGCGAAAUAACAAGACUCAACACACAAAAAGACACUUACAGACUCAAUGACAACAAAUGAACAAUAAAAAUGGACUGCCAAGUAAAAGAGACUAUGAUCUUUGCAGGAGAAUCCAACGACAUCACUGUAGUCAAGGCACUUAUUCCUGCGGCUGACCCCCAACAUCACGCUAUAUCCUCUCUAAGUCUGCAGAUAUGUGACGGGCGACGUUCAUUGAUACUUCUGCAAACCGCUCAGGCAUCAUUCUCUAGCAACUCCUGCAUGCUCGGGAGGUGUAUGUGGCUACCUCAAGGAUCUUUCCCUUAAUAUGUUCCUGAGCUAAAUGCAACUCUUGAUUUCAUUGACCACGGGUCUCGGCUAGAUCCAGCGCAUCAUGCUCGCGCUCCAAGGCCAUAUCUCUCUGGCAUCGAAUUUCUAGUGACUCCCCCUCCAACCGAUUGAUCAUACUUUGGUUGCGAUGUCUUUCUAUUUCAAACUCCGCGAUCUGGCGUGUCACGCCCUAAAAUCGAUGAGCGCGAUCGACGCUCAAUCGAGUGAACCCGACCGAGCAAGCCUGUUAGAUUUACUUCUACCCAAACUAACAUAGUUUGUCUUUCCCAGCACCAAUACGCAACCACUAUGUCUACGGAGCCUCUAUAGAUAAGGAAGAGUACAAUGAUAAUGCUGGCAACAAGGCCCCGGCUAUACCUCAAACAGAAUACACAAGGAACAAAAGAUACAUGGCCCCGGAAUGAAGUGGGGCUCACCAAGUCAGUUGGGAAGAAGGUGUGCUGCUAUCACUGAUCAAUACCUCCUGCCGUGGAACCACCUGCAUCCAUUUAAAGAUGCAGCACCCCCGGCAAAAGGGACGUUAGUACCGUCGAAUAGUAAUAAUAUGAAAACCAAACACCAAUUUAAGAAUUUAGAAAUACAAUAUGAAUAUGAUGAAUCAUGACGACAAUAGAAUGAUAUAGCUAACCGUUUAAACCAGAGCAAGCUUAUUAAGAGCUAUCAAUAUCAUUUAUAGGAUUUAAGAUGAGAUCCUCUAUAACCAUCCUCAAACAAAGCGGCCCCGCCGCCUCACCUGAUGAAUGCAGGUGGAGGUGUAAGUAUAAUACCACAACUCUACUCAAGUGGCCCGACCGCCUCACCCCAAUGUGUGCGGGUAGAUGUAUAACCACAAUACCAAGAACCUACAUAAAGCGGCUAUGCCGCCUCACCCCAAUGUAUGCGGGUGGAAAUGUAUCAACGAUAACAAUACCUACACAAAGCAACUAUGUCGCCUCACCCCAAUAUAUAUAUGGGUGGUGGUGUAACAACAAUACCAAAACUAUACAUAAAGCGGUCGUACCGCCUCACCCCAAUGUAUGCGGGUGGAGUUGUAAUCCCACAAUACCAUAAUCCCUACACAAAGCGGUCAUGCCACCUCACCCCAAAAUAUACGGGUGGAGGUGUGUCACAAUCAUAAUCUCUACACAACUUUGCAUAAUAACUUCCACAUUAAUCACGACUUGAAAUUAUAACAUGUGCAUACACAAUUCAUAUUUUUGGAACACAUCCUCAACUUAUAAUGUAAUAUGAUAAGAGCAUUUGAAACACGAAUUGAACGUAUAUCUUUAUCACAAAACUUAUCGGAAUACUCGAUUUGUCAUCAAUAUCUUGGAACUUAGAAAAAAAAAAGGGAUUCCAAUUCAUAAAGAAGAGUUUAGCCAACAUACCUCACUUGAGCUUUCUUACACUCUAAAUGUUCUGGAAUUCUUAGCAACUUCAAUAUAUUUUAGAAAUAUAACAAGCUGAACCAAAAUGAGGAAGACGAUCAUGGUUAUAGCUCAUUUGAGCAUUUUAUCAAACACUAGGUGUGCAUAAAGUUUCAAGGUCUUUUUUAUGGAGAAUUUCAUCAUCCCACAACCCAAUAUUUACCAUUGUUAGCUCAACAAUCUUCCUACACCCUUUGAUAACACAUGCAUGUAAAAUAAACAACUCUCAUGCCCAAAAUUAUCUUGCUAAUUACCCACUUUUAGACAAAAUUCAAAAUUGAGGGUUAGGAUGUAGAAUCUUACCUCUAGGAUGAGGACCUAGUGAGUUUCCCUUCUUAGUCUUCCAAAACUUGAGCAAGGAUUGAAGAACAAUUAUUGAAGAACACCUUCUCACUCNNNNNNNNNNNNNNNUUCUCACUCUAGGGCACUCUCUCUCACUCUAAAAUAUCAGAUUAUAGCUCAAAAAUGACCAAAACGUGUAUUUAACGAAGUAGGGUCGGGUUUUUAAAACCCAAAAAUGAAGCUCCGAAACAAGUUCUGUGGUCGCAUAUACGACCCCAUAAUGGUUAUGUGGACCGCAUAUCGGUCGCAUAAUUGGUGUCCAAAACGAGCAAAUAUAUGUCCGUGUUUGCGGUCACUAUGCGGUUCGCAUAACUGUUCUGCGGUCACAUAGUGCACCGCAUAACAGUUAUGCGGUCGCAUAGUCGACCGCAUAAUUGCUUCCAACUGGCCCAAUUAACUGCCUCACUCUGCGGCCAUUAUGCGGUCCACAGAGUGAUUCUGCGAUCGCAUAAUUGGACCGCAGAAACACAUUUCAUUGCCAAACAUUUUCUUUUACAUUCCGGUGCAUUGUUCAACCCAAAAGGUUCGAGUCGCGGCGAGUAAUUUAUAAAAUCCUCAAACACGUAAGCCUAAUUCGGCACCACGAAACAUUAUUUUCUUUUUGCAAAUUUUUUACCGGGCUUUACACUUAAGUACUUCGAAAUUUUUCGGGGUAUUACAUUCUCCCCUACUUAGGAUCAUUCGUCCUCGAAUGAGGGUUAAAAUCUAUUAUUAUCAUCUUAUGCAACUCAGUUUUUCAUACCACACACCAGCUGUCCCAAAUUUGACUAACUCCCUAAAUUUCCAAAACUUUCGCCAGAAUUUCCUUUGUAACUAGGCCUAUCCAUGUGUUAGAGAGUUCUAGAAAUACAUCCUAAUAACAUAUAUACAUAAUCCAACGAUGUAACAUAAUACGAAACAAUAUUAACUGUGGCCUCAUAAGCAAUAUAUUUUCAGAAAGGAACACCCUUAAUGCUAAUUGUUCACAUGAUACAAAAUUCAUAAAAAGUAAGUCUUAUAAUUUUCCUAGAUCACAACUUUAUAAAUACAUGGUCAUUCAAACAAAUAAGGAUACUUUUUCUUCAUUUCUUCCUCGGCCUCCCAAGUAGCCUCUUCAACCUGUUGGUUUCGCCAUAACACUUUCACGGAGGCAAUUUAUUUAUUUCUUAAUUUUCGGACUUGCCGAUCAAUAAUAGAAAUCGAAAUCUCUUUGUAAGUCAAUUUCUCAUUUACCUCAAUAGUCUCAAUUGGAACAAUGACUUUCGGGUCUCCAACUACUUUCUUUAACAUAGAUACAUGGAACACCGGGUGUACUAAUGAUAUCUCAGGUGGUAGCUCAAGCUUGUACGCCAUCUCACUGAUUCUCUGAAUGAUUUUUUACGGUCCGACAUACCUCGGACUCAAUUUCCCUUUCUUACCAAAUCGCGUUACACCUUUCAUGGGGGAAACUUUCAAAAUACCCAAUCAUCUUCUUUGAACUCCAAAUCCCUACGUCGAACAUCCGAAUAGGAUUUCUGAUGACUCUGAGUAGUCUUCAACAACUCAUUAAUAAUUUUAACUUUUUCCAUAGCCUGAUGCACGCAGUCUGUCCCUAUCAACUCUGCUUCCCUAAUUUCGAACCACCCAAUGAGAGAUCUACAUCUCCUACCAUAUAAAGCCUCGAACGGUGCCAUUUGAAUGCUAGAAUGAUAGCUAUUGUUGUAUGCAAAUUCUAUGAGUGGUAAAUGAUCAUCCCAGCUACCUUUGAAGUCUAGAACAAAAGCACGCAACAUAUCCUCAAGCGUUUGAAUAGUCCGCUCUGCCUGCCCGUCAGUCUGCGGGUGAAAGAUUGUACUAAGAUUCACCUGAGUACCAACACCUUGCUGAAAUUUCUUCCAAAAAUUAGCAGUGAAUUGUGCCCCGAUCAGAAAUGAUGGAAAUUGGGGUGCCAUGCAACCUGACUAUUUCUUUGAUAUACAAAUGAGCAUACUGCUCCGCUGUGUCGGUAGACUUAACCGGCAAAAAGUGUGUUGAUUUCGUGAGUCGAUCCACAAUCAUCCAAAUUGAGUCAAACUUGCACGGAGUGUACGGUAAUCCUACCACAAAGUCCAUAUUAAUCAUUUUCCAUUUCCACAUUGGAAUUUCUAUGUUCUCUGCCAACCCAUCGGGCCGUUGGUGUUCGGCCUUCACUUUCUGAAAAUUCGGACAUCUUGCCGCAAAGUCCGCCACAUUCCUCUUCAUAAUAUUACACUAAUAGACUUCCUUAAGAUCAUGAUACAUUUUUGUAGACCCUGGGUGCACGGAAUAAGAGUUUAGCCAACAUACAUCACUUGAGCUUCCUUACACUCUAAAUGUUCUGGAAUUCUUAGCAACUUCAAUAUAUUUUAGAAAUAUAACAAACGGAACCAAAAUGAGGAAGACGAUCAUGGUUAUAGCUCAUUUGAGCAUUUUAUCAAACACUAGGUGUGCAUAAAGUUUCAAGGUCUUUUUUAUGGAGAAUUCCAUCAUCCCAGAACCCAAUAUUUACCAUUGUUAGCUCAACAAUCUUCCUACACCCUUUGAUAACACAUGCAUGUAAAAUAAACAACUCUCAUGCCCAAAAUUAUCUUGCUAAUUACCCACUUUUAGACAAAAUUCAAAAUUGAGGCUUAGGGUGUAGAAUCUUACCUAUAGGAUGAAGACCUAGUGAGUUUUCCUUCUUAGUCUUCCAAAACUUGAGCAAGGAUUGAAGAACAAUUAUUGAAGAACACAUUCUCACUCUUAGGGCACUCUCUUUCCCUCUAAAAGUCAGAUUAUAGCUCAAAAAUGACCAAAAAUGUGUAUUUAACGAAGUAGCGUCGGGUUUUAAAAACCCAAAAAUAAAGCUCCGGAACAGGUUAUGUGGUCGCAUAUGCGACCACAUAAUGGUUAUGCGGACCGCAUAUCGGUCGCAUAAUUGGUGUCCAAAACGACCAAAAAUAUGUCUGUGUCUGUGGUUACUAUGCGGUCCGCAUAACUGUUAUGCGGUCGCAUAGUGCACCGCAUAACAGUUAUGCGGUCGCAUAGUCGAUCGCAUAAUUACUUCCAACUGGACCAACUAACUACAUCACUCUGCGGCCAUUAUGCGGUCCGCAGAAUGAUUCUGCGGUCGCAUUAUUGGACCGCAGAAAUGCAUUUCAUUGACAAAUAUUUUCCUUUACUUUCUGGUGCAUUGUUCAACCCAAAAAGUCCGAGCCGCAGUGAGCACGAAUGCCCAAUUCGGCACCACGAAACAUUAUUUUCUUUUUACAAUAUUUUUACCGGGCUUUACACUUAAGUACUUCGAAAUUUUUCGGGGUGUUACAUGUCGCUCCUUGCUUGAAUCAACUCCCCCUAUCUGAUCCCUCAGACCUUGGAUUAAUGGAGCAAAACCUCUGCGCUUAUGAUCCCGGACCACCUUAAAUUGGGCUUCUCUUUCUUCAUGUUGUUGAGCGGUAGUGAUCACUUUUUUCUGUCUAAAUUAAGCUUUGAGUGCUCGCCUCUCUUCUGCCCACUGAGCCUUUUUCCGCUCGAAAUCAGCCCAUUGUAUGUCCAUGUCUUUUUCCAGAUUGCCCUUAUCUUCUUGUAAAAUGUCAAUACGAGAUUGGUACUCUUGUGCCACUUCCCUUCUGGUUACUCUAACUCUGGCCUUGAUCUAUUCCUCCCAAUCUAAUGCGUUCCGUAUGGCUCUUUCUGGCCUUUGCUCUAGGAUAGCCUGGUUGUGAAACCACUCAAGGUAUGUGAAGCUUACCUCCCCAUGUUCACGAUCAACUACCAUCUCGUCCAAGUCGGAAAAUCAACCACCGAACAAAACCUUUUGUGCAUGUGUCUCCCUUGGAAGUUCCUCUCCCUUGAAUUCCCACACAAACAGACGCAUGUCUUCAAUCGGGGGCCCUAGCUAGCGCAUGACACGUAGGGGUGCGUAGGGUUUGAAGCCUCAGAAACCCAUGAGUAUAAAGAAUGGGAGAUACGUCGACAUAUGCAUGACCCUAGUAGAAGGGAAUCAAUAAUAGUUACAAGUGAUUCUAUCAGCACUUAAUGAACCAAGUAAUUUUUGCCAGGCCCUCACCCCCUCUGGAAGAUUACAAUUCGCGGCCCUGUCCGGGUGAUAUCCAAUAUAAUUUAGCUAAUUAUCAUUGAAAUUUACUACUAUUGGAUGAUGAUAAAGGUGCUCUAUGAACCACAUCUACAGCAAAAUGUUGCAUCCCUCAAAGUAAUCUUUACCCUUUUGGUAACGGGUCAAAGCUCAAAAAAUAUCUCCCAGAAUCAUGGGAAGAAUGGUAUGAUCCUCACUACUUUGCAAAUAUAAGACUACCGCAGCCAAUCGAAUUCUGAUGUGCCCACCUCGCUCUGGAAAAACCAUGGCCCCCAGAAAUGAACGCGAAGAUUCUCAACUCCCUCCAUGCGUUGUAACUCAAUUGGUUGACGAAUUCUUUGCCCGAGAAGUUCUCAAACCCUUUCUCGUCCCCAAAUCUAUCAUAGAAAUAUUCCAACGAAACCCAACCUUUGUCCAAGCAACCCAUUGGAAUUCGACGGAGACAUAAAUUUUUCAAAAAGUUGUUCACACCAACUUUUCUUGGAGCAGCAGGCUUUUUCCCAUGAAGGUCUCUCCCCAAUCCGGUAAACCCACCUAAUUCUUCCAAUGUAGGCGUCAUUUCAAAAUCUUUGAACCUGAAGACAUUGUUUACGGGGUCCCAAAAUUCCACUAGGGACUCGAUUAAAUCUCUGUUAGGCUUAAUUCCCAUGAUGUUUGGGAGGAACCUGAGGUACUUAAAUACUUUAUUCCGUUCCCAUGUAGCAAAACCAAGUCAUCAAUUACGGAGAUUACUCGGGGUCUAAUCUCUGAUCAAGAACAUAGGAGGUGUCUCGUCCCUUACCUUUUUCUGACUACUUCUUUGUGAAAAAUUCAUGGUGAACCUAAGAAUAAGACAAAAAGGGGUCAUGACUUACCUAAACUAUAUGCAAAAGAUAAAAAAGGAUUAAGGCUCGUUUUGUUUUUUGAAAUUAGCCAACACAAAAGGUGAAAUGAUAAAAGUAGAAAAAAUGGCUAUUAUUACGAAAAUAACCCUCUGAUACUUCCACGGAAGGCUUAAAGGAUGUCUCGGCAAAAACGGCCAAAUAUAGGGACAAAAUGAUUAAAAGUAGUAAAAAUAAAUUAAAAGGCUAUUUUUACGAAAACGACCAUUCGGUACUCCCGAGGGAGGUUUAAAGGCUAUCUUGGCAAAAUGCCCGGAAUACGAGAGACAAAAUAGUAAAAGGUGACAAAAAUAGCUUCAUUUUUUUUUGAAAAAUGUUGGCUGAACCCGAUGGAGGUUUCCUACGUAUCUCACAUCCGGUGAGAAUCAAACUCGCGUAGUUCGGUGAAAUCGAGUAUUUUUCUCUUUUGAUUUUUAUGAAAAUUAAUCUUUACACCUCACGUGAGACUACUACAAAAAUCUCAAAAAAAAGGAUUAUUUCUACUAAACUAGGAGAGUGAUUUUUUUUUAAUUUUUUAAUUGUUUAUUAUUCAGCCCAACUAAUUUUCUAAAGUCGGUCAACAAUGCAAGCAAGUCUUCCAAAUGAUGUAACAAGUAGCACAUAACUAAACAUGAUGGUCUCAAAGAGGAUAUCCGGCAUGAGGUUUGUUCUUCUAGGUUAAUCUUUACACCUCACAUCAGACUACUACAAAAAUUUUAAAUGCAUGUGAUGCAAAUAAAGCGAACCUACUAGGGAUAUCCGGCAUGAGAUUUGUUCUUCUAGGUUUAAAUCCUAUUGGAGAAGGUAUCUAGACUGGCUUACUAGAGCGGACAACUCGAGCCGAUGAGGGUUAGUGUACCAGUAGUAUUGCUUUCCGGCUUAGCUAGUGGUGCUCCCCGCCUAAAACAUGUGUAACUAAAAAUUCUUCACCGGAUGACAAGCACCUCGGCUAUCUCAAAGAAAGCGGACUAUGUCAAGCAAAUGCCCAAUUUUUAUUUUCAAGAAGACUCAGAGGGGGUGCG
rnacentral:lncRNA from 1 species